GUUAGAGUGAGUGUUAGUGUGUGUCUGCUAGUGAGUGUUAGUGUGUGUGUCUGCUAGUGAGUGUCAGUGAGUGUGUUACUGUGUGUGUCUUACUGAGUCUGUUAGUGAGUGUGUGUUUGUCAAUGAGAGUGUAUGUUUUGUAAGUGAGUGUGUAUGUAUGUCUGUCGCUGACUGUAUCUCUGUCAGUAAAUGUGUGUGUCUGUUAGCUAGUG